rnacentral:rRNA from 1 species
GACGAACGCUGGCGGCGUGCUUUACACAUGCAAGUCGAACGGUGAAGGUGGAGCUUGCUCCGCCGGAUCAGUGGCGAACGGGUGAGUAACACAUGGGCAACCUGCCCCUAACUUUGGGAUAACUACUCGAAAGAGUAGCUAAUACCGGAUAUGAAGUCUGUAGGCAUCUAUGGAUUUGGAAAGUUUUUCGGUUAGGGAUGGGCCCGCGGCCUAUCAGCUUGUUGGUGAGGUAGUGGCUCACCAAGGCGACGACGGGUAGCCGGCCUGAGAGGGCGACCGGCCACACGGGGACUGAGACACGGCCCAGACUCCUACGGGAGGCAGCAGUGGGGAAUAUUGCGCAAUGGGCGAAAGCCUGACGCAGCAACGCCGCGUGCGGGAUGAAGGCCUUCGGGUUGUAAACCGCUUUCAGCAGGGAAGAAGCGAAAGUGACGGUACCUGCAGAAGAAGCACCGGCUAACUACGUGCCAGCAGCCGCCGCCG